UCAGAUUGAACGCUGGCGGCAUGCCUUACACAUGCAAGUCGAACGGCGAGCACGGGCAACCUGGUGGCGAGUGGCGAACGGGUGAGUAAUGCAUCGGAACGUGCCAGUUGAGUGGGGGGUAACGUAGCGAAAGUUACGCUAAUACCGCAUAUUCUGUGAGCAGGAAAGCAGGGGAUCGCAAGACCUUGCGCUCUUUGAGCGGCCGAUGUCAGAUUAGCUAGUUGGUGAGGUAACGGCUUACCAAGGCGACGAUCUGUAGCGGGUCUGAGAGGAUGAUCCGCCACACUGGAACUGAGACACGGUCCAGACUCCUACGGGAGGCAGCAGUGGGGAAUUUUUGGACAAUGGGGCAACCCUGAUCCAGCCAUGCCGCGUGAGUGAAGAAGGCCUUCGGGUUGUAAAGCUCUUUCGGCCGGGAAGAAAUCGCAUGGGUUAAUACCCUGUGUGGAUGACGGUACCGGCAUAAGAAGCACCGGCUAACUACGUG
rnacentral:rRNA from 1 species